rnacentral:rRNA from 1 species
ACUCCUAACAAUCAACCGAGCCACACUAUUAUCAUAGACGAAUUACUGCUAAAACUAGUAACAAGAAAGCUUCUCUCUGCACCCCUUUACCUCAGUAAUAGAACACCUCCUGACAAUUAACAGACCAAAAUAGGCAAUAUUCCCCUAUCAAGCCAACUGUCACCCCAACACCAGGCGUGCCAAAAAGAAAGAUUAAAAGCCACAGAAGGAACUCAGCAAACCCUUGUCCCAACUGUUUACCAAAAACAUAGCCUUUAGCAAUACAAGUAUUAAAGGUCCCGCCUGCCCAGUGAAUAUUAAACGGCCGCGGUAUUAUAACCGUGCAAAGGUAGCGUAAUCACUUGUCUUUUAAAUAAAGACCAGUAUGAACGGCUAAAUGAGGACAAACCUGUCUCCUGUGCCCAAUCAGUGAAACUGAUCUCCCAGUACAAAAGCUGGAAUACCCCCAUAAGACGAGAAGACCCUGUGGAGCUUAAAACAAACCACUAACAAAUAACUAGUACUAGUUUUAAGUUGGGGCGACUUCGGGGCAAAAUAAAACCCCCGAGCACAGAGCCACAAGCUCUCAACUAGGCCAACAAGCCAAAAAUCAAAACUUUGACCCAGUCACACUGAGCAACGAACCAAGUUACCCCAGGGAUAACAGCGCCAUCUUCUUCAAGAGUCCAUAUCGACAAGAAGGUUUACGACCUCGAUGUUGGAUCAGGACACCCCAAUGGUGCAGCCGCUAUUAAAGGUUCGUUUGUUCAACGAUUAACAGU